rnacentral:tRNA from 1 species
AGGAACGUAGCUCAAGUGGUAGAGCAGCGGUCUCCAAAACCGCGUAUCCGGGUUCGAGUCCUGGCGGUCCUGCCA